rnacentral:tRNA from 1 species
GAGAAAACUCGCAAGGACUGCUAAUCCAUGCCUCCGUACUUAA